ACACGUAAAGCUAAACGUCAGACAUUUAGUCUUGAAGUAUCUAAGAAUUUUUACUUGUGCAUGUUAAAAUAUUACCUGUAGAUUAUUAGGCAUGUAUGACAUGAUGGUGCAACGUCAAAUACCCAAGAUCAUGUGAGCGACAUAGGUAUCAAUGGUCGUCUUCUUAAUUAUUCUUGUUUGGAUAUCAUUUGCUGAUGUGCACUUACAGACAUUUGUGUGAGGUUUUGAAAGUCAAGAAGGAGAGUGUAGGUCGAGAAGCUCUGAAGACACUUUACCUGCCUCCUUAAAAGCAAAUCUUGAGAAUUUGUGUGCAGUUACAUAGAUUUGUGUGAGGUUUUGAAGGUCAAGCAGAAAAUUGUAGGUCAAGAAACUCUGAAGACUGUUUACAGCCUCCUUAAGAACAACUCUUGAGAAUUUUUUUGAUCGUCCGAUUGACUUUUUGAUGUCUGAGAUGCUUUUCCGUAUGAUUUAUGAAGAGAUAUGAGUUAAGAAUAUUACUUUGAAACAAGAUGUGAUGUUUUGGCUAUAUGACGGGUUUUAGAGUAUUUGGAUAUAAGCAUAGACACCAAUUUUAGAUACGGAUUUAUCUGAAAUAAAUAUGUUUUUUAGGGUCUGUCUCUAAAACAACUUUUUGCUGAUAUUUCGUUUCGAGCAAAACGGGCAGAAUUUGUGAAUACAUGAUUUAUUCUAAUUGCCAUUGUUUUCAACAGUAUAUUCUGGAUGUGAUUGCAAUUUAGUUUCUUUACGUCUAAAUAAGUAAAAAUACAAAAUAAACAGCAGAUGUCAUAUUAUGUAAAUCUGUUUUGUCUCUAUUAUGGAGGCUGUGAACAAUACUCUGCUGUCAAAGCUAAAUUGGCGAUGGUCUAAUUUACAAAUAUGUGGCAAUUAGAUAUAAGUUUGUACUGUAAAAUAAUCGUUAUUACUAGAAUUGAAGUUUCAGGAAUUGAGUUUCAUUUAUUGAGUAUAAAUCAGUUGAGUAGCCUUCAUCUUGAAAUUAUGACGUAUAGACUUGCAGAUGGAAAUCCAUGCGUUCAGCUAGAUAGCUUAAAUAGGAGCUCCCAUUUUCGGAUGGGCCUCACGAAAACUGGAAUACUGGAAAAACGGUAUGGAUGGCACAUAAGAUUGAGCUUAUUUUCAGAUUUCUCAGCGCUGCUGAUGUAGGAAACAGUCGACAAUUUGUGCCAUCAAUUGUAGGGAAUUUUCUGCAGCGAUUUGAAAAUUAGCAUAUUUAGAUUUCCUCGUCAUCUAAAAUCGCGACUGGGACAGCACCAAAUUUCGGUCUUGUAAACAGAUAACUAGAUAUAAUACAUGUAUUACAGAUAGUUUGUAAUGCUACACAAACACCCGUAUUAAUUUCUCAUGUCUUUUAUUUUAAAUUUGUAGUUGCAGACAUUUGUGUGAGGUUUUGAAUGUCAAGUAGGAGAUUGUAGGCCGUGAGGAUCUUAAGACUAUUUACAGCCUCCUUAACAGCAAAUCUUGAGAAUUUAGGCAGUAAACAGAAUUGAGCUGUUAGUGCCAGAUUGGCCAGGAUCAAAUUUCCAAACAUUUGUGCUGAGGAUUUGACAGUGGUGUAGAAAAUAGUAGGCCGUGAAGCUCAGAAGACAGUUCAUAGCCUCCAUAAGAGCAAAUCUUGAGAAUUUAUGUGAAGUUACAGAAAUUUGUGUGAGGUUUACAAAGUCAAGUAGAAGAUUGUAGGCCGAGCGGACAGUUUACAGCCUCCUUAAGAGUAUACCAUGAGAAAUUUUGUAUAGUUACAGAAAUUCGUGUUGAAGUUUUGAGAGUAGGGUAGAAGAUUGUAUGUCGAGACAAUUAGGACAAAGUGCACAGCCGCCAUAACAGCAAAUCUUGAGAUUUUUUUAAGUUCUUCUGCGUGUAUUUAUUUGAUGUAUUAGAUGCUUAUAUAUAUAUAUAUAUAUAUAUAUAUAUAUAUAUAUAUAUAUAUAUAUAUAUAUAUAUAUAUAUAUACAUGCAAUUUACUAAAGCUUUUUUAAGAGCACAAUAAUGGCUCGGACUAUACAAUGGGCUUGAGGGUACUUUCCACACUCAUUCCUCUGUAGCAGCAUUUUAUUGUUCACUUCUGUGUAGAUUUUUUUAUACCUAUUGCAUGUUAUAAUAGACAACCGUCACAGCACAGAUAUUUUAGAAAAAUACUAAAGCUACAAGACGUCAUAAAUGCCUACAAGAACAGACACGCAACAUUUCUCUGAAAAAUCAGAUUGAUGCAACUGUAAAGCGAUAACUAAAAAAAAUCAUCCAUCAAUGCCUCGUACAUCUUUACCAUAGAUGUUAUGUCGCAGAAAGUGUAUUUAACAUGCAAUAAAAACUUUUAGAAAGAGUGAAUAAUAUGCUUUAUGUGAUUGACAGUGCAGACGUCACAAUGAGAGCUGGUCGCCGUUAUAUAUCCAAGGGUAAUAGGGUAAAUAAUUAACUUUGACUUUCUGAGUUAUUAUGUCCAACCAUUUGUAGGGGAGACAUAUUAUUUUUGUCUUCGCCGUAUGUGUGUCCCUCCGUCAGUCGGUACUUCAGUCCGCAUUAUUUGUCCUGCUUUCUGAGGUCAAACUAAUGGCCGGAUUCCGACGAAACUUUACAGGAGUGACCAAUCCUACUUGUGCAUUUCCCUGGCACGUUCCAUUUUGCUGCAGAAAAUGGUCGCAAGAGCUAUAAAUAGAAAAAUAAUAAAAGUUUUCACAGGUUAAACUACUUGUCGGAUGUCGACGGAGCUUCACAGGAGUGAUCAGUAUGAAGUCUAAUUGUGCAUAUGGCCUACAGGUUCCGCUUGGCUGUACAAAAUGGCCGUCAGAGCUAAAAAACAAACAAUUUUGUCCGGCUCUCAAAAGUGGAUUUUGACGAAACUUCACAGGAAUGAUCAGUACCAUGCCUAGUUGUACAUAUUGCUUGCACGUUCCUUUUCGCUUCACAAAAUGGCCACCAAAGCUAAAAUUAGAAAAAUGUUGUCCGAUUUCCACAGGUCAAAGAUGGUGGACAGAUUUCAACGAAACUUAACAGGUGUGAUCAGUACCAAUCCUAGUUGUGCAUAUCGCCUACAUGUUCCGUUUCGCAACACAAAAUGGCCGCCAGAGCUUAAUAUAUACAUAUGGUGGAGACAUAUGUUAUUUGUGACAAAAACACCUUCUA
rnacentral:lncRNA from 1 species